rnacentral:rRNA from 1 species
GACAGAGGGGGCAAGCGUUGCUCGGAAUUACUGGGCGUAAAGGGCGCGUAGGCGGGAUGGCAAGUCGGUCGUGAAAUCCCUCGGCUCAACUGAGGAGCGUCGAUCGAAACUGCCGUUCUUGAGGGUUGCAGAGGAGACUGGAAUUCCCGGUGUAGCGGUGAAAUGUGUAGAGAUCGAGAGGAACACCAGUGGCGAAGGCGAGUUCCUGGACAAGUCCUGACGCUGAGGCACGAAAGCCAGGGGAGCAAACAGG